rnacentral:rRNA from 1 species
GGCUACGAGGACGAACGCUGGCGGCGUGCUUAACACAUGCAAGUCGAACGGUAAGGCCCUUCGGGGUACACGAGUGGCGAACGGGUGAGUAACACGUGGGUGAUCUGCCCUGCACUUCGGGAUAAGCUUGGGAAACUGGGUCUAAUACCGGAUAGGACCACGGUCUGCAUGGAUUGUGGUGGAAAGCUUUUGCGGUGUGGGAUGGGCCCGCGGCCUAUCAGCUUGUUGGUGGGGUGAUGGCCUACCAAGGCGACGACGGGUAGCCGGCCUGAGAGGGUGUCCGGCCACACUGGGACUGAGAUACGGCCCAGACUCCUACGGGAGGCAGCAGUGGGGAAUAUUGCACAAUGGGCGCAAGCCUGAUGCAGCGACGCCGCGUGGGGGAUGACGGCCUUCGGGUUGUAAACCUCUUUCAGCAGGGACGAAGGGUGACUGACGGUACCUGUAGAAGAAGCACCGGCCAACUACGUG